rnacentral:tRNA from 1 species
GCCUUCGUGGUGUAAAGGUCAACACACUCGACGCGUACUUGAGAGGUCCAGGUUCGAGUCCCGGUGAGGACA